GGCCUACCAUGGUGGUAACGGGUAACGGGGAAUUAGGGUUCGAUUCCGGAGAGGGAGCCUGAGAAACGGCUACCACAUCCAAGGAAGGCAGCAGGCGCGCAAAUUACCCAAUCCCGACACGGGGAGGUAGUGACAAUAAAUAACAACACAGGGCUCUUUCGGGUCUUGUUAUUGGAAUGAGCACGAUUUAAAUCUCCUAACGAGGAACAAUUGGAGGGCAAGUCUGGUGCCAGCAGCCGCGGUAAUUCCAGCUCCAAUAGCGUAUAUUAAAGUUGUUGCAGUUAAAAAGCUCGUAGUUGAAUUUCAGGCCUGGCUGGGCGGUCCGCCUUUUGGGUGAGUACUGCCUGUGGUCGGGUCCUACCUUCUGGCGAAGCGUCAUGGCCUUAACCGGCCGUGGCGGGGAACCAGGACUUUUACUGUGAAAAAAUUAGAGUGUUCAAAGCAGGCAUUCGCUUGAAUACAUUAGCAUGGAAUAAUGGAAUAGGACAGUGGUUCUAUUUGUUGGUUUCUAGGACCGUUGUAAUGAUUAAUAGGGAUAGUUGGGGGCAUUAGUAUUCAAUUGUCAGAGGUGAAAUUCUUGGAUUUAUUGAAGACUAACUACUGCGAAAGCAUUUGCCAAGGAUGUUUUCAUUAAUCAAGAACGAAAGUUAGGGGAUCGAAGACGAUCAGAUACCGUCGUAGUCUUAACCAUAAACUAUGCCGACUAGGAAUCGGGCGAUGCUGACAAAAUGACGCGCUCGGCACCUCAUGGGAAACCAAAGUGUUUGGGUUC
rnacentral:rRNA from 1 species